CGCUUUGAAUUCGCGGGAAACAGAGAGAAAACUCGUACCCCGAUUGCUGGGGUGACUACAAGAAGACUUAUAGGGGCUAACGAUCGAACUUCAUAAUAACUAUGGGGCGGAAAUCAACAAAAGGGAAAGAAAGGAAAAAGAAACGAAAGGAGGAAAAUGCAAAGUACGAUGCAGCCCUGGCAAAAGUGGAAGCAGCAAACAAGAUACCAGACCCCUUAGAGUUAGUGGCACCUUUUAAAAAAUUUGAGAGGAAUGGUUUGAAGUUGAAAAUUGAGUGCAAAAAGGUGACAGAUAUGGAGAAAGAAUUGAUAGACUGGGCAUUUCAACUGACCAAGGCUAACAUGCAGAAAAUGUAUGAAGAGAGUGACUGGGGAUGGAAAGAUAAGGAUAAAUACACGGAAAUGACAGAUGAGAGAGCCCAGUAUCUGAUCGCCUCCGACGCCACCACCGGUAAACUCGUCGCCUUCACUCACUUCCGCUUCGACAUGGAGUUAGACGAGGAGGUCUUGUACUGCCAUGCAUUGGAUUUUGGCACCAGAGCCACCUGUACCUCAGGUGUGCGUUCCAGUCAUUGACGACUUCUUGGCUAAUCAAGAAUUCCUGGCUGCAGAGCAUCCCAUGACACGGUUGUGUCAGAGACUUAUUGUAAAUGAUCAAGAAAUUCAACAGAUUGCUGCUUUGACUGUUGGGCAAAAAGACAACUGUCUCUGGUCUGCCAUUCGUAAAAAUCGUUUAACGGCUUCUAACUUGGGAAGUGUUCUGGCAGCAGUAAGAAGAAAUAGGUUCUACAAAAUACACAUUUUGUCAAUCUUCAUUUUAAUGAAAUUUUGCUUGUCCUUAAAUUGAAAAGUAACUGAAAUCUUUUUCUCCUGCACUAUUUUACAGAUAUCCAGUUUCAUUGUUCAAGCACCUCUGCCAAGCCUACAACCUUUUCAAAAAAGAUGCCAUAAUU